rnacentral:rRNA from 1 species
GUGGGGAAUUUUGGACAAUGGGCGCAAGCCUGAUCCAGCAAUGCCGCGUGCAGGAAGAAGGCCUUCGGGUUGUAAACUGCUUUUGUACGGAACGAAACGGUCCGGGUUAAUACCCUGGGCUAAUGACGGUACCGUAAGAAUAAGCACCGGCUAACUACGUGCCAGCAGCCGCGGUAAUACGUAGGGUGCAAGCGUUAAUCGGAAUUACUGGGCGUAAAGCGUGCGCAGGCGGUUUUGUAAGACAGGCGUGAAAUCCCCGGGCUCAACCUGGGAAUUGCGCUUGGGACUGCAAGGCUGGAGUGCGGCAGAGGGGGAUGGAAUUCCGCGUGUAGCAGUGAAAUGCGUAGAUAUGCGGAGGAACACCGAUGGCGAAGGCAAUCCCCUGGGCCUGCACUGACGCUCAUGCACGAAAGCGUGGGGAGCAAACAGGAUUAGAUACCCCUGUAGUCC